UUUGGAAAUAAACUAAUAAAGUUGUCCGAUUCAUACUCGGAAUAUGGAAUUAAAUUUCCUUUUCAUAU
rnacentral:tRNA from 1 species